rnacentral:rRNA from 1 species
CCUACGGGAGGCAGUAGUGAGGAAUAUUGGUCAAUGGACGAGAGUCUGAACCAGCCAAGUAGCGUGAAGGAUGACUGCCCUAUGGGUUGUAACCUUCUUUUAUAAAGGAAUAAAACGCGGCACGUGUGCCUUUUUGCAUGUACUUUAUGAAUAAGGAUCGGCUAACUCCGUGCCAGCAGCCGCGGUAAUACGGAGGAUCCGAGCGUUAUCCGGAUUUAUUGGGUUUAAAGGGAGCGUAGAUGGGUUGUUAAGUCAGUUGUGAAAGUUUGCGGCUCAACCGUAAAAUUGCAAUUGAUACUGGCAGUCUUGAGUACAGUUGAGGUAGGCGGAAUUCGUGGUGUAGCGGUGAAAUGCUUAGAUAUCACGAAGAACCCCGAUUGCGAAGGCAGCUUACUAAACUGUGACUGACAUUGAUGCUCGAAAGUGUGGGUAUCAAACAGGAUUAGAUACCCUUGUAGUC